CCGCCUCCAGCGCCACCUCGUAUCUCCUCAAUCCCGACAUGUCCUGGGUUCCGAACGUGUCCUGGGGAGCGGCAUGAUUGGAUCAAGGAUUCCCCAACCCCAGGUCCCUUUCUGUCAUUCUCGGGACCCGACUGACUUGUUCUCGGGUAAUAUGAGACAGGUGCCCCCGGGAAGACUCAAUUGCCACAUCAGGACAGGGUGGGAUUGAAGAUUUGGGAGGCAUCAGACGUUAAGGGAUUGGGCAGUCGGUCAGCUUGGGGGCAUGGGGUAUUUAGGGAAUUAGGGUCAACGGCUUGGAGGUCAUGGGGCUGGGAUAUUUGGGGGCCCGGGUGAGGAUUUUCGGGGGCUGGGGUCACCUGGAGGGGGGCUGAGGGGUCGGCGCAGCCUAAACUCCCGCCCUCCCUGGCUCCACCCCGGAAACAGACCGCUACGUUACGUCACAGGGACACCGUCGCGCACUAGGGGUGGGGCUUACGUAUUACCCGGAAGGGGCGGAUCCAGGACAUUUCUUCUGAGGAGGCGGAGUCCAAAUGUCACUCCAGGAGGUGGAGCCAAGAGUCUAUCACUAAAGGGGCGGAGUCGGGGCUUACUACUAAGAUGCGGGGCACGGAACCCUCUUUAGUAAGGAUGAAGUGAGAUUUUGGAGCUCCACCCUGGGUGACUGAGACCUCAGUACUAGGCAGCAAGAAAAGAGCUUUGGGACGUAGUCCACUACUAUUUUCCCAAUCCCCUCUCCUUAGUUUCUACUCUUGACAGUUUUCUUUGUCUGCCCCAUUCUACUGGGCAGAGGAGGAACAGGGCUCUGGAGAGGGCUCAGUCUAGACAGGCCAGACUAUGAAAUACUUGUUGGCUGAGUGGCCCUGGCCAAGUCAUUUAAUGGCCAGAAGAUCACAGCUUUUCCUCUCUGAGCUGAGGCCUACCUUCCUGUGAUUUUUGUUCCUAUAGUCAUUAACUAGUCAAAUAUUUAUUAAGUGUCUACUAUGUGCCAGACAACAUGCUGCGCAUAUGGCAGUAAAGAAGACAAGCACAGCUUCUGCCCUCAGAGAGCUUAUCAUCUGGAUUGUAGAGGGUGAAAUCAAAAGAGACAAUAAAAUCACUAUGAUAAACGCAGCUGACUGGCUGGGAGCAGUAGAGGGUGCUGCAAUAAAGCCAGGAAAGAGUGAUUAAGCCAGUGUGGGAGGUUGGAAAUAGCUGCCCUAGUUGGACUGCGGAGUGGGGAAGGGAGCCUUGUGGCUGGAUGGAAGGCAGAGAAUGACCAGAAGUAACUGAAAUUAAAGUUCCCCCAGGCUGAAGUGUGGAGAAUGUAUACACCUAUCCUCUCCCCCAUUCCACCCUCUUUCUCCCUUUCAUGCCUGCCUUCCCCUGCCUGGGCUACAUACAGACAGGUGACAGACAGAUCCGUGGAUGCCAGUUGGAAGCACUGCAGUCUGGGCAUGGAGAAGCUGUGCCACACUCACCCUCGCUCACGCUCACACUCACAGUAACACUCCUGCCCUGCCCCAGCCAGGACUGGUUUGGGGGUGCAGCAUGGUGAACCUAGAGUUGGAGCAAAUGGACUUUGGAACCCAGCUUCCCGGCAGUCCUCGGUGUGAAGGGAAGAAGUUGAGGACCACAUCUGGGAAACUUUCAGGGGCCUCCUUGUGAGAAGGGGCUCAGCAAGAAGAAGUGACACCAGAUCCCUGAGACACCUGGAUCCUUGAUCACCUGCCCGGGGGGCUGAGAGAGUUUGGCUCGUUCAGGGAACCGACACAGCACCAGGCAGUCUGAGAUGGACACAUCCCCGCAACCCGCCGCCACCCUAAGCCUCCCCUCAGCCUUACCAGAGGACGUCCAGAGGAUCAGCAGGCUGAGGACCAGCAGUGCGGCUGCAUGGGAUGCCAUGGAGAGUGAGCAGAGACGAACUGCCAGCUCCCCCUGGCUGUUGGAUGGAGGAUCGACCAAAGUGGUGCAAGAAUAGAAGCCUGGAGGCGGGAUUGGAGGCAACUGCAACAGUCCAGGGAGGACAGGAGAUUGCUGGGAGUCGUUGAGAAGUGGUCAGAUUCUGGAAAUACUUUGAAGGUAGAGCCAAUGGGCUCUGCUCUCAGAGUUCAGCAAAGGAUAUGAGAAAGAAGAGAAAGAGACAGAGAAAAUAUGGCAACGUUUCUGGCUUAAGCAAUGUGAUGGUUGGAGUUACAUCUACCCAGAUGUGAAGGACUGCAGAGGAGUGGGUUUGUGGGAAGGCCUAGCACGGUGGCCAUCCAGCCCAGAUCUCAGGCCCCGGGCCCCAUGGGUGGAAGAUUUAAGGCACCAACUCCCAAGCCUUUGGUUUAGAUGGUCCACUGGAGGAGGGAGUCGGGGGAGGUCGGAGACCAGGGAGGUGGGUGGGUCUGUAACAGUUUCUGACCAGGCACACAGAGCCCUCAGCGUGCUAUAUGCUUCACCUAGUUCACCCUCUUCUCAGCCAACUGGGUUCCUGGUUCAGUGUGAGCUCUGGACAAAUCUCCCAGCUCAGGGCAGUUCAGCCCAGCCUGGCACCACACUCUUCCUAGAAGCCCGCGCAGGUUUCAUGCUCCCUGGUCUGACCAAAUCCAUGCCCCAGGGGUCGCAAAUCUUGGAUGGAGGGCACUUUAUCCAUUGCGGCAGGGAAGAGAGCAGCUGGGCCUGGGAAGGCAACCAAGGCCAGGUAGAGGUGGGAGUACAGAGGGGUAAAGGGUUGUGGGGAGAGGAUCUAGAUUAGAUACUUAGUAAAUGUCUGUUGAAUGUAUGAAUGUGCGUCUCCCGAGCUGUGUCCGUGGGACUGAGCGUGACUGUUGUGCCUGUCAUCCGUGUGUGUGAGCUGUCUGUGGUUGUCUACGUCUGUGUGCCUGACUGAUGUACCUCCCCUCCCUGGCCUGCAGAGGGCGCCCCAGGCCGGGAAGGAAGCUCUGGAGGGGGCGCAGCUCUGGAGGAGGGGCAGGGGUACGCUGGCGAGCGAAGGGGUGCUUUGACAAGGAUGGAGUGCGGCCCGGACCGGGCGGGCUCCCCAGAGAGGCUGGGAAGGGCGUUGGGCCCAAAGUCCGUGGGCCUGGCAUUGCCCUUCGUGCUCUUCGCUGCUCCAGGCCCCCGCUGGUCCCGUGGCCGAGGGUCCCGCCCCGGGUCCCGGCGCGCGGGCGGAACGUGCGGAGUAGAGGCUUGGGCUGUGGGUGGGACCCGCAACCCCGCGGACCUGGGGUCAGCGUGGGCCCAGGAGCCCCCGGGCGGCGGUUACCCGGGCCAGGCUCAGCGGCCGUCCCGCCAGAUUUCCGCCCCUCGGGCCCCGAACCCGCGGGUACUCGGGUUGUGGCGGUGUUUGUGAGUAUUUGUCUCCCCAACCCCAGAUAUUCCCAGCUUAUCCUGAGUCCAAGCCACCCAAUGUGGAAGAUAUGAAAUAAUGUUUAUAUUAAAGGCCAAAGUACAUUCACAUUACCUCUGGGACUUCCUUCGCGGCAUGAAUACCCGCACUCGGGUUAAACUUCGUAAUUACGGUGCUAACUCUGAAAAUGGGUUCUUUAACGGAGGUUUAUUGAAAGCCUAACUGUGUGCUCGGGGCGAUGCUUGGUGCCUGAGGAUGAAGUGCUUUCACCUGGAUAAGGACGGAAAGCGAGUUUGGCCUGCUCAUCAAUGGACACAGGAAAAUGAUAGACUUUUGGCCUAGCAUGAAACACAUUUGAGGACAAAUAAUAAAGAUUAAAAAAAGAAAAAGAAAAAGAAAAACUGACCCCAGAAAGAUGAAGGAAAUGAGAACAGCAGUAUUCAACCCACAAACUUGUUUGCCUUUGGAGAACCGAGGACCGCCGCGACGAUGCUGCCUCCUGGUGGCGGAGCCGGGCAAUGAGGCCUAGUGGAGCUUCGCAUCCAUUGGGUGUAUUCUGAACCCAAAUUGGCGCCGGCUGCUCAGCAUCACUUUGUUCCCAAAUACAAGGAGAAGUAACACCUGGACAUGGGAAAGAAAAAGAACUUCACAGAAGAGGCCAGCUGAAGCUGAAGACAUUUUUACAGGUGUGAGAUGUGAAAUUAGCCAGGAAUGAUGCAUCUGAAAUAAAUAUAAAAAGAUAUCGCUGUUAGAGAGUACCAAGAAUCUUUAUGUACACUGAUAUGGCAGUAAGUAAAUAUAACUUGAAGCUGAUUUUGUUAAUUUCUCAAGCACCUCAUGUGCAUAUCUUGGAGCCUGCAGCCCUGAACCAAGACUUCUCUUGAUCCUCAGGCCAGCCUGGAUGUGGACUUUAAGGAAGGGGUCACAGAGACUAGGAUGGCUACACAUUGGAGAUGAGACACACUGCAACAUCUGCUGCCCCUUGGCAAAGGGACCUUCUGGAACCAAACCCAUCUUUUCAAAAUAGGACACCCAUUCUUCUUCCUUUGCCUGGAUUCCAGGACGAGAGAAGGAUUCCAGGAACCGGGGAAGAGUGAAGAGGAAGACAGAAUAACUUUGCCUCCUCUUUGUCAUUGAUACUCAGUGGGGAAAAUGAUCAGGUGACUGUUUUACCUCUACAAGUGAUUUAAUUCUUGGUGCAAUUACUUACAUUCAUGGGGCAGAGGGGGGCCACUGGGAGUUCUGUCUAUAUAAGGACAGAAGACCCAUCAAACAGAGUGGAGGUUUGUCAACAAAACCUCCACCUCUUCAGCAAAGGCAGACAAAAAGCUGAAGACCCCUCCAGUUUGGACCCUCUCUCACUCUUACCAUGGCCAGUUUUUCUCCAAAGAACCCUGUGACACAUUUUUGUCCCUCUGCUUCAGCAGCGUCACGAAGAUCAGCCUUGUUUCCUACCAACAUGAUAGGAAUGCUCUCAUGGGCUGCAUCCUACCACGAAGAAAAGAACAAAGUUGUGCAGAUGUCAAACACUGGACAAGUUAUGAGGAAGAUGACUACAACGGCCACCACUUCCAAAUGCCCCUGAUGUGCCACGUGAUGUACAAUGUCUUUAAACCUCAAACUGGCUCUAAAAAGAGCCAAACUUUUCCCCACUGCCAGGUGAGAACACUGAAGUUCAGAGCGGUUCAAGAAGACCUUGUGAGGGCCGGGGCCAGGGUUCAACAGACUCCAUCGCCCUUCCCACUAUACAAACCAAUACAAACUCAAGAGGCAGGACCACAGAAUUCUAUCUGGCUGUGGUGCCCACAUUAUUUUCUACAAUUUUCACUCCUAACAGUGGUUACUACAAGUCAACUUCAUUAUCCCAGGUACAAAACACACGAGCAUUCCCUCAGCUGUAAUGGGGCAAAAGUGAAGUUUGGCAGUUCCACACCCGCUGCUGUCUGGUUUAUAACAGAAGCACAAUAUGAAGGCCUCAAGGUCAACGUUCUUCUUGUGAGGAGUCAAGGAAUGAUCAUUCAGAGCACCGGAUCCUUGGAAUGAGGCCCCCGAGGCAGCACAGCGCUCCGCCGCACCAUCCCAGCACUCAGAGGAGCUGGCUGGCAGGAUGGAAGAGCGGGGAGGCAGCCAAGUUUGAGACCCCGCCCUGGCCGCUGUCUCCGCCUGUUUCUGCCUCCGUUUCCCUAACUGGAAAAUGAAGGGGUCAGUGACGGCACAUCCCACCUCAGCAAGCUAUGAUGAGAACAGAAGACAACCUGACUAGAAAAACAGGUUUCUGGUUCCUGGACAAGAGAAGCAGCAGCCCUGACUGAGAUGUGGGGAAAUGACUCUGCAGCACCUAAAGACAUCCAGGUGCUCAUCCAGUGUGGUGCUGCACCUGGCAUGGAAUCAGGACAUGAGCCUUAAAGACAGUGAAAUUAUAUCUGACUUCCUUUCUCUUCGGACCAUUUUCCUCCAACCAAACUCACCAGAGUGAAAUAAAAGCGCAGGGGAGCAGGAAAUGAAAGGCCCACCCAAACCAGACAGCCCGCCCACUAAUGUGUUAAGUAACUGUGUUCAGUGGGGAACUGCUCGGGAUCCAGAGGGGCCUCAGAGGGAAGCCGUUAAUCAAAUAUUCGAUGAAGUAAGCCAAGAAUCCGAGCGUCUAAAUGACUUCUCAAAGUCAUACAGAAGCUCACUUUAGCAGCAUCCUUGGCUCUGUGGGAACUUGCCCAGCUGCUGAGGAAGAGACCGAUACUGGGAACCUGCUUCUCAAUCCAGUCCUUCCUGACAGCCUGGAUCAGGGGUUUCUACUCAAGUUCACUUGGACAGAGAAGAGAAACAGCAUUUUCCGAGACAGCCUCUAACUUUCCCGUACUAGCCCCAUAAGGAGAAAGACUUCUUCCUCCUACUUGCUGCUCUAUCCUCAGCUCCUGGCAUACCUGAACCACAAAAGGUGCUGAGUGAAAACCUGCUGAAUGAAUGAAUGAAUGAACAGGAUUCUUGUAAUAUAUCAGCUCUAUAAUUGCCACAGAAAAAAGGAACAGUGCAGGUCAUUAGACUCAGAAUUUCUUCCACCUGCGAGAAAUGAAGUCCAGCACAGUGUGACCUUCCCACGCGUCACUCUCACCCGUCCACGAGUCUUCAAACCUUGGUGUUCAAAGAGCUAAUCAUCAAUUCAAGAUGACACCAAUGGAAGGUUUUCACACGGCUGUCUGAAACCAAGAGGGCCACUGAUUUUAAGACCAUGCCAAUAUUAAAGAAGAAAAACUGCUGAGGGAAAAAUGAACUUCUCAGAAACAACGGCACAAGAGAUGGUGAGAAGGAACCAAACUUUAGACGCUCAGCACCUCUGGAAUGGAAAUCUGCAAGAGUGAAAGAACUGCGGAAUCCCACCACCUACGUGUGUACAUCACCUGGGGUGAUGCCUCUCAGACUACUACUCAGCUGUGACAGAGGGCUGUGGCACAUCAGUUAACUAGCUAGCUAAUUAUUGCUGUGUUUAAUUAAAAGCUAUGGCACAGCCAAGGGUCCCCGUGCUUGCCUCAACCCUAUCAUGUCUUCAGGACUCAAGAAGGCCUGGUGGGUUUACUGUUUCUCCAAGAGCUUACACCUUAUCUAAAUUCAAAUCACAUCACCUGCAAACUUCUGAGCAAAGUGCUGCCCCACAAGGUUGGUGCUUUUCAUGUGUGUCGCCCCUGGUGCAGAGAAUGGCAAAAGGGGACCCAAAGAGGUCAGGAGCUGAGGUUCUCAUGAGCCCAAAUACCAAAUAUCUCCUAGUUUCCUUUUUCUCUUAACACAUUAUGGAGUUUUAUAUCCUAUGUUCAGUAUUCAAAUAAAGUUUUAAGUUCCUAACAAGUGGCAUUGAGUGUAAUAAGACCUAAAUAAAUGGAGACUACACCAGGUUUGUGAAUCAUUCAUUAUUAGUAACAUGCCAAUUCUCCUCUAAUUGAU